rnacentral:rRNA from 1 species
GACGAACGCUGGCGGCGUGCUUAACACAUGCAAGUCGAACGGAAAGGCCCUGCUUUUGUGGGGUGCUCGAGUGGCGAACGGGUGAGUAACACGUGAGUAACCUGCCCUUGACUUUGGGAUAACUUCAGGAAACUGGGGCUAAUACCGGAUAGGAGCUCCUGCUGCAUGGUGGGGGUUGGAAAGUUUCGGCGGUUGGGGCUGGACUCGCGGCUUAUCAGCUUGUUGGUGGGGUAGGGGCUUACCAAGGCUGUGACGGGUAGCCGGCCUGGGAGGGUGACCGGCCACAUUGGGACUGAGAUACGGCCCAGACUCCUACGGGAGGCAGCAGUGGGGAAUAUUGCACAAUGGGCGGAAGCCUGAUGCAGCAACGCCGCGUGCGGGAUGACGGCCUUCGGGUUGUAAACCGCUUUCGCCUGUGACGAAGCGUGAGUGACGGUAAUGGGUAAAGAAGCACCGGCUAACUACGUG